GACGAACGCUGGCGGCGUGCCUAAUACAUGCAAGUUGAGCGAUGAAGAUUGGUGCUUGCACCAAUUUGAAGAGCAGCGAACGGGUGAGUAACGCGUGGGGAAUCUGCCUUUGAGCGGGGGACAACAUUUGGAAACGAAUGCUAAUACCGCAUAACAACUUUAAACAUAAGUUUUAAGUUUGAAAGAUGCAAUUGCAUCACUCAAAGAUGAUCCCGCGUUGUAUUAGCUAGUUGGUGAGGUAAAGGCUCAACAAGGCGAUGAUACAUAGCCGACCUGAGAGGGUGAUCGGCCACAUUGGGACUGAGACACGGCCCAAACUCCUACGGGAGGCAGCAGUAGGGAAUCUUCGGCAAUGGACGAAAGUCUGACCGAGAAACGCCGCGGGAGUGAAGAAGGUUUUCGGAUCGGAAAACUCGGUUGGUAGAGAAGAACGUUGGUGAGAGUGGAAAGCUCAUCAAGUGACGGUAACUACCCAGAAAGGGACGGCUAACUACGUG
rnacentral:rRNA from 1 species